CAACAUCGUGGGCAAAUCUUGCUAAGCUAAGAUUUCAGUUUCAGGAGCGUUUCUGCUCUGAUACCAUAAAGAGGUUUUUCACAAAAAAUCGUAAGACUGUAUUAGCUCAUGCGCCGUGAGUAGGAGAACAAGCGACGGAGUCCUAGACAUGACCGAGGGAGAGAUCCCAGGAUAAGCAGCCAUCCAGAGACGGUUUGGUUUGCAGGGAGAAGUGAUGGAUCUGGUCUAGUCCGAUAUUUAUAGGCCACCGGAGAGCAGCUAUGUUGCAAUCAACGACAUAAUGUUCUUGUCCUGGCAAUAGCCCAUGUGGGCAGAGAACGCUGGUUCGUACACUAUGUUUUGCCCUGUUUGGAAAGCGUGAUGCGGACUGAAGCAACUGACUGUCAGUGGGGUCUAUCUUGACGAAUUGCAAUAUUAAUUCAAGCGGAAUUUUUCGAUUA